rnacentral:lncRNA from 10 species
CUUGAAAGUAGCAACAAUGAUCUUAUUGUUUCCAUGAUGUUUCAUGUUCAGCUGUUCAGAUGUCCUAUCGUAUGAGAAAGAAAAUGCAAUCUAAUGGGCCGCCAGGAAUCUAAGAAGCUAUGCCUCUCAAAGCCCUUUGAUAUCUUCAAACAAUUAAUCUUGUAGCAGCUAGAAUAUAUUUUCAGUAAUGUGCCUAACUUAACUAUAUGACUAUAUUAAAAUAAAUCUCCAUGUUACUUCAAUUUCUAAAUAAAAUGGCAUGAGCAGAAAGGAUAUUAAAAAUCUUGAUCACUUCCCCCAGCAACAGGGCAGUUGCUGUUCACAUUUUACCCAAGAGCUAUCUAUGUGCCUCUUCUUCCUAGCCAACAAAAGCCCCAUCUUGUUUAGAUGGUGGGUAGGGAGCCAGUGAGAUCAUAGAAGAUGGGCCCCUAUCCAAGCCCCAAGAGAAUUAAUUGCAACUGGGCUUGUUCUGUUUUCCUUUGCCUGUGAUUGGUCUAGGAGUGGGCAUGUGGCCUAUUUCUGGCCCUAUGAAGCAAAAGGAGAGGUCUGCUGGGAGACUUCCUGAAACUGCUCUUCCUGGAAGGAGGGAAACAAACAAAACAACAACAAAAGAACUUUACAAGAGAAAGCUUUUUAUCCCAGCCCCUUCCUACUCCCAUUGAAUGCAGCUCUGUGAGGACACGAUAUUUGAAGCUGCAGUAGCUGAGGUGGCAAAAGAUGGCAGAACAGAAGAGCAGACAGAAUCUGGGUCCUAGAUGACUUCAUUGCACUGCUGCAACUGCCUUCUCCAGACCUCUUGCCAGGCCUGUGGUUCCCUAUGGAAACACUGACAAGAACAGGUGGAAGAAAUAUGUGGUCUUCGGUUAAAAACUCUUCAGGGUUCAAAGAAGGGCACUCUCACAUCAUGUGAUGGGUGAGCUCUAGUCAUUCUGUGAGAGGAACUCCAGGAGACCAGAUCCAACUCGCAAUCAGCUAUAGUGAAGUUAUGAUAUGAGAAGCACCAACUUGGCACAAGACUUGGGAAAGGCAAUGAGGCAGCAGGCAAGCUUUAAGGGAUGACACUUACCUUGAGGGAGCAAGGACAAGUUGUGACCUUCCCAGUCCUCUCUCCAUUUGCAGAUCAGCAAGCUUCUGUCAGCAAGGAGGGGUGGACAAUGAAACUGGGUUCAGCUUGAUUUGUUUUUUGAGACAGGUAUGGCAAGGGGCUGCCAACAAGGUAAGUCAUCUUUGGACAAGCCAAGUGCUUUGGGAAACAAUUGUUUCUGAAAAUAAGUGUUUGUGUCAAACAUUCUCUUUGUUAGUAGGAGACAUUUUUGUUGGAUCAUGUUGUCCUCAGCAAAAGAGGUUGCAGAGAAGUUAAGGAAGUUGGGAUAACUUAGAGUCUCAGUGCUUUGGGGCAAUUUACAGACAGCACUGUGUGAUCCUCCCAUCUCAGGACUUACAUCAUGUUGCUAACUCCCUCACUGGGGGCCAUGGUUCUGAAAGGAAGAAAGCAUGUCUUAUUCACUCACCUUUGAGUCUCCAGCACUGAGCACAGCACCUGUCACUCAGUAGGCACUCAAUAAAUGUAAAUUGAUAUGAAACAUGACACGUGGUGCCUUUUACAGAACAAAAAUUAAUUUGUCCUAAAGGCCUCCAGGGAUGCAAUUCUGAAUUUUAGUAUGUGUCUACCUUAGGGUUGAGGUUAAUGUUUAAGUGUGACAAGAAAGGGUUAGUUUGGCUGAAAUAGUUCUUCCUGUGGUAUUAACUGGUAAAAUGAAAUAUAAUGUCAUUCUAAUCUCUUCCAAGCCUUUCCUGAUUCAAACAUGGAAAUGUGUUUCUGCAGAUUGGGGCGUUUCAGCUAAAGGUUCAACGAGAUUAAAAAGGAGAAAGCUUGAGUCGUUUGAGUCAAUAUCACAAACAGGAUUUAGGUAUUCAUUAAGAUAAGGAUAAACUGCUAAAUUUAGGUUUACUCAUGAUUAAUUUGUUUGAUGUAUUUCCUUGCAGAAUAAUACAUGAACUAGAUUUUGAAUGUGAUACAGACACACACCAUUUUUUACAAUAUAUAGCUUAAAAAUUUAGAUGUAUUCUAUGUGUACAAUCCAGAAAGGAGAUGAAAUCCUGCCUCCUCUUUUAUAAACUUAUUUGGAGGGGGAGCUAAAUGGAAGCCAAAUUUUUGCUGAACUCAAAUUGGCCAUGGAUUCUGGAUACACUGGGGCUGGAGAAGGGUAUGGUUGAGAAGGACAAGAGGCAUUGCACAAACACAUUCCUGGAAAUAAAUCUACACAGACUGGUUGACUUGAAAACUGGUUAAUCAGAAAUUUUGCCCUGCUUCGGGUAAAGCUAGAAACAUUGAAUCCCAACUCUGUGAGUAACAUGCCUAAUAGGAAAACUGAAAAUUCUGUGUAUUUCUUUUCCAAAAUUAAAUGGCAGCCAACGUUUGCAGAAAAAAAAAAAAAAAAACAACCACAAUGGGGAAUUAGAUUACAGCUGUUUGCUUAAAAAUUGAUAACUGAUUUUGUUGUUUCUUUAAUGGAAAUAUUUGUAUUGUGCAUUCUUGUUGUUGUCUGAAGAAAAAUGGUGAGAAUAUUACAGUGCGACUGCAGAAUACAAGUUUGAUAGAACUAAUCUGAUUUACCUUAGAUACACUCCUCAUUCGGGAGAAUUUAUUUAACUGGUAAUUUAAUUUAGGUGGAGAGGCACUUUAAUUGGAGUUGAUUACUGUGGGAUUUUUACAUAAAGUACGAUGCACUCUUGAGUUACAGCACCACAUGAUGUAAAAUUGGGUAAUUUUAAGCCACUGGAUAUUUUUAUCCCAACUAUAAUAGAAUUUGCUGAAAAAUGCUUAUUAACUGAAACUGUUUUCUAGGUUGGAUACUAUUUGGAAAAUCUUUGGCACUAUGUCAAAGAUGGUUGGAAAUUUACUAAAGCUAGCAGACCAAAAAACAAAACAAAACAAAACAAAAAGACUUAAUUUAUUAGGACUGCAGUGGUGAUGUGUUGUCACUUCAGGACACCCCACUACCUGAAUUGCAGCAGUGUUGCGAAUCAUCACUCUGCAGUGAAUGGGAAUUUUUGGUUUAGAGUUUAACAGAUUUUCCUGGUCUUUCUCCUAGCGACUGACACAGAAAUACGAAAGAAUAAAAUGAUUCCAAAAAAAAAAAAAACACCUACAUUAACCAUUUGGGGGUAAAAACGAUGAAAAUGUAAAGGCAAAUGAUGAAUUUAUCAAAAAGAAUGAAGGAACAGAUAGCAUAUGUAUGUAGGAACACAGUAGCUUUAAAAUAUCAGAAAGAUGAAGGACAGAAAUGCCAAGUGAAGCAGAGGGUUUCUACAUUUGUCUUCUGCUUUUGCAUGUCCCACAUUCCCUUAUGUAAUAGAUCUUUAAUGGAUUCCCUACUGUCACAGAACCUUUAUAAGACCAGCCUAUGGAGAAUGCAAAGGAACUAAAUAAUGGACAGUUAACGUUCUGGAAAAGCAAUUUAUUAUCUUGCUAGGAGCUGGCUUCUCAUUGCAUUUAGAAUAAACUUUAAACAGCUAUAUCAUCUUCCAGGCCUGAUAUGAUCUGGCCCCUGCAAACUUACCUUCACAUCUUCCACUCCCAUCCUCAUUCUUCAGGCUCUAGCUACACUGGCUUUCUUUCAUCCUUGGACUUUCUACACUGGUUCUUUCUGCAAGGCUUUGCACUGCCAUGCUCUCUCUCUGGAAUGCUUUUCCUUUGACUAAAUUUUUCCAUGUAAUUCAGGUCUUAGUUCAAUUUUAAUCUCCCCUAAGAGAUUUCCCAUCCUAUCUAAAGCAGUCUAUGCCCUUCCCUAUCCCUAGGUCCCGCAAUCACAUUACCUAGUUAGAUUUCCUUCAAACCUCUUGAAAUUCCCUUAUUUAUUCUUUUGAGUUUUUUUCCACUUCACCUUCCCCAUAGAACAUGAGCUCCUCAGUGUCAGGGGUCUUCUGUUUCGUUCACUGCUAUAUCCCCAACACCUAGAAUAGAACAUGACACACAGUGAGCCAUGAAUGAAUGAGAAAGAGUACAGGACUCACAGUGGAACUGCCUAUGAACAAAAGGAAUACUGGACAAAAAGAAAUGGACUAGGGAAGAAAAUCAGGAAGAAGAGGAACAAAGAAUGGGGUCUAGGGACUGAGAAUUGGUUAUAGUGUACAAUUUUAGCCCCUAUAAAAAAGUUUUUUACAUGCAUUCCAAGCAGAGGGAAUGGCAAGUGCUAAGAGGAAGUCUUUCCAUCACUACACACAGCUGUUUUUUACUUUGUUGUUGUUAGUGGUUUUGUUUUCAGUGUGUGUGUUGGGAGUGGGGGGAGGAUGGGUGUGAGGGAUCUCUGCGUGUUUCUCUCAGGGGAAGGCUGGGUUUUCUCUUUCAGCCUACAGGUGUUGCUGCAUGUUCUUGGGGUGGCCAAUGGAGCACUAGACAGGAAUACCACCCAUGGCAGCUCUGCAACUUAUUCUAAGACUUUUAGGGCAAGAGGCAGGAAAGAGUGAAGGAAUGAUCACCACAUUGUACCAGGGGUAUACCAGUGAGAGGUAAGAUGAUCUGGGUGGUAGCAGUGACCCCCACUUUUUUUACCCAGAAAAAGAUGGAUAAAUGCUCUGACAUUGCUGUGACCCAGGGAUCUGUGGCCAUGGUUGCUUGUGCAGGCAGCAGCCAAUACUUCUGAAUGGCUCCCUUGGGACUACAAAACUGUGUGUGGGCGCAGGGAGCCCAUACUAUUUGCCACAUCAGAAAAAUCCAUUCAUGAAAAGGAAAGACAGAGAAUGAUAAAAGUCUUCUCAGAAAGCCUUAGCAAAAUGGGUGCUUUUAUUUUCACAGACAUGUC